rnacentral:lncRNA from 1 species
UGGAAAUCAAACGGGGCCAAAUGCAGAUGGGUAAGAAAAGAAUUGGACUUCCUUUUCCCUCUCGUUUCAGAUUUUCAGGGAAGAAUCUAAGUUUAUGGUUCCUGAACCUAGCUAAUUGCCUAGGAUACACUCGCAAUUAGGCGGAACUCCCGCGCGGACACACAUAAGACUUUUAGAUGUCUGGAGUGCACUUUUUGAAGAAAGUGUCGCAUGCAUUGAUAUACAUAAAACAAGGUUAAGGCUGAGCAGCUCGUUUUUCUGCACAUAGAAUACUGCAACGACGUGUGCUUGUUUCUGAAAGAUUGUAGAAAGACUGAACGCUAGUGCCAUUGGAAUCCUCCCAAGAAAUUGCUGAUAAGGUAUACUAUCAAUCAUUACUUUAUUC